ACUGGUAUAUUGAUAGACUGAUAGACUGGUAUAUUGAUAGACUGAUAGACUGGUAUAUUGAUAGCCUGAUAGACUGGUAUAUUGAUAGACUGAUAGACUGGUAUAUUGAUAGACUGAUAGACUGGUAUAUUGAUAGACUGAUAGACUGGUAUAUUGAUAGACUGGUAUAUUGAUAGACUGGUAGACUGGUAAACUGGUAGACUGAUAGACUGAUAGACUGAUAGACUGGUAGACUGGUAGACUGGUAGACUGGUAGACUGGUAGACUGGUAUAUUGAUAGACUGAUAGACUGGUAAACUGGUAGACUGGUAGACUGAUAGACUGGUAAACUGGUAGACUGGUAGACUGGUAGACUGAUAGACUGGUAGACUGGUAGACUGGUAGACUGGUAGACUGAUAGACUGAUAGACUGGUAGACUGGUAGACUGGUAGACUGGUAAACUGGUAGACUGGUAGACUGGUAGACUGGUAGACUGGUAUAUUGAUAGCUAGCAGGACUUAGGAGAAGGGUUGAUGUGAACUACUUUUCAACAGAAUCAAAUUAGUGGAAGGCUACAACAGAAAUUCAACAGAAAAAUCCUAAUUCGGCUGAAAAAUAAAAACAUCUCUUUCCGUCCUCAUUGAUUUCCUCAAAUUAAACGAGAGCCCAGUUGAAAUGACGUUGAGCCCGAUCCUGGAGAGAACCAUCAAAUCAGUCUAAUGGUCCUAAGAAUUCCUUCAUUAUAUUGGUGCGUAUUAAACUACUUUAAUUAGAAGACAAAACGGCAAUCGAAUUACUAAGAAAGUUCUUCCACGUCUAGACUAUAUUUAGUACAUUUCCAUUAAGUUUAUGGGCCAGGUUUCUACGUAUCGUACAAGGCAAAGGUACGGUUAACCACUCAGCAUAUUCAGGUUGAACGGAAAGAAGAACGCUGUCUAACCAACCUCCUGCUGACUCAUUGUAUUUAUGCUGACAAUGCCUGACACACACACACACACACACACACACACACACACACACACACACACACACACACACACACACACACACACACACACACACACACACACACACACACACACACACACACACACACACACACACACACAGUGUUCUCAUACAAGCACGCACACGCACACUCACAAUUCAUUUUUACAGCAACCUAUCAGAUCAACAAUCUCAGGCCUAGAUCUCAGAUAUGAGGCCUUUCUGAAACUCAAUCUCAGGCCUAGAUCUCAGGUAUGAGGCCUUUCUGAAACUCAAUCUCAGGCCAAGAUCUCAGAUAUGAGGCCUUUCUGAAAGUCAAUCUCAGGCCUAGAUCUCAGGUAUGAGGCCUUUCUGAAACUCAAUCUCAGGCCUAGAUCUCAGGUAUGAGGCCUUUCUGAAACUCAAUCUCAGGCCUAGAUCUCAGAUAUGAGGCCUUUCUGAAACUCAAUCUCAGGCCUAGAUCUCAGGUAUGAGGCCUUUCUGAAACUCAACAAUCUCAGGCAUAGAUCUCAGGUAUGAGGCCUCUCUGAAACUCAACAAUCUCAGGCCUAGAUCUCAGGUAUGAGGCCUUUCUGAAACUCAACAAUCUCAGGCCUAGAUCUCAGGUAUGAGGCCUCUCUGAAACUCAACAAUCUCAGGCCUAGAUCUCAGGUAUGAGGCCUUUCUGAAACUCAACAAUCUCAGGCCUAGAUCUCAGGUAUGAGGCCUUUCUGAAACUCAACAAUCUCAGGCCUAGAUCUCAGGUAUGAGGCCUUUCUGAAACUCAACAAUCUCAGGCCUAGAUCUCAGGUAUGAGGCCUCUCUGAAACUCAACAAUCUCAGGCCUAGAUCUCAGAUAUGAGGCCUCUCUGAAACUCAACAAUCUCAGGCCUAGAUCUCAGGUAUGAGGCCUUUCUGAAACUCAACAAUCUCAGGCCUAGAUCUCAGGUAUGAGGCCUUUCUGAAACUCAACAAUCUCAGGCCUAGAUCUCAGAUAUGAGGCCUCUCUGAAACUCAACAAUCUCAGGCCUAGAUCUCAGGUAUGAGGCCUCUCUGAAACUCAACAAUCUCAGGCCUAGAUCUCAGGUAUGAGGCCUUUCUGAAACUCAACAAUGGAAACUCUUUUUGCCCAUUGUAUUGUUUCUAAGGCGGAUACACAGGUGUUCUGUUCACUCAUGUAUCAUCACCCGGUUUGAUGUAAACGUGAGGAGGAGGGAA